UUAAGUUCAGCGGGUAGUCCUACCUGAUUUGAGAUCAAACAUUCAAAGGGCUGUCCUCACUGAGGAGAGACAUCUAUGAGCUCCAGCGAACCUCCACUGCUGAAGGUUACCUGGUGGAAAACCACGAGCGUAGAUAGUUAUCACACCCAUGAUACCCACCAAACACUGGUAAGCUGAUUUAUUUUAGAGGAGCUGACUGU
rnacentral:misc_RNA from 1 species